CGCUGGUAAUGAUAUAUAAAAAGUGAAUGCUGGUAAUGAUAUAAAAGGAGAUAAACGCUGGUAAUGUGGUUUGAAGUUGUUGUAGUUUAGAGUCACAGUGAACAGUUGUGUUGCAUAGCUGUCAUUGGACCACAAGUCAAUGAGGAGGGGCUUAUGAGUCCUGAUUGGCUCAGAGGGAUGUGGACUCUUUCUGUCAGGAGGUGAAUGUGUGGCUCAGCUGCUGAGGAAGUCCUGAACAACCUGCAAGACAAAGCGCUCAGAGAGAACAUUCAUGGGACCCUCAGCUGGGAAGAACCUGGCAGAAGUGAACAUGAAGGAUUAUUUGUUGUGGAUUACAACAGUACACGGUGCUGGUUCUCGAAUUCAAUUGGAUUAAGCAAGCGGGAGGUGGAUUACCCAACGUGCCUGCAGAUCACCAUGGAGACGCCAGAAUAGAAAUGCAACACGUAGUUCCCUGACACACCUCAUGCGGACCUGUUGGAUUUUGGUGGGAUCGGCGGGACUCGGAGUUACGAAUGGAAGGCAGAAGAAGAAGCUGAGGGCCAAAGUCAUGAUGCUGCCACCAUCUUGCCAACUCUGACCAACUGGAUUCAAAGGAAGACGAUGGCACGUGUUCUGCUGUGAUUGACAGCUAUCAUGUGUUGAUUGAACAGAGACAUGGACGGCCAUUGGUGGGAUCACAGUGAACCUGCCCCGAUGUCCACGCAGUGGGUCUCGUGGCGUCCGUCCAGGGAUGGAAAGCGCCUCAUUGGGCAGAUUCUACUCAACAAGAGGACGAAAGACAGUUCGGUUCCCGCUGACACCGGAGCGCUGCUCGGACUGAAGGUGGUUGGCGGGAAGAUGACCGAGUCGGGUCGUCUCUGUGCGUUCAUCACCAAAGUGAAAAGAGGAAGUCUGGCAGACACUGUGGGACACCUGAGGGCAGGUGAUCAAGUCCUGGAGUGGAACGGCUACGUUCUACAAGGAGCCACCUUUAACCAAGUUUACAACAUCAUCCUGGAGUCAAAAUCAGAACCACAAGUGGAGCUGCUGGUGUCCCGACCAGUCAGACCUGCAGGCUCCUCCCACGUCCAGCUAGUCUCCAGUGACACUUUGCAUUCAUGUUCAAAUUCCUUUGACUGUCCUGUUGUGGAGGGACAGCUCUCAACUGAAACCAAGCGUCUACUGGUUCCCAGACUUCAGGUGAAGCUGUGGUACAAUAAAGUUGGCCAUCAGCUGAUUGUUACCAUCCUUGGAGCUAAAGAACUUCCUGUUCGAGCAGACGAGCGGCCCAGGAACCUUUAUGUCAAAAUCGACUUGCUACCUGACAGAAGUGAUCAGAGUAAGCGCAGGACAAAAACAGUGAAGAAGUUGACAGAACCUCGGUGGAAUCAGACUUUUGUGUACUCUACUGUCCACCAACGGGAGAUCCGAGAACGGAUGUUGGAGCUGACCGUCUGGGAUCAAGCUAGAGGUUGUGAAGAGGAGAGUCAGUUCCUUGGAGAGGUCCUGAUCGGACUGGAGACAGCCCUCCUGGAUGAUCAGCCCCACUGGUACAAACUUCAGAGGCCUGGCAUGGCCUCUCUGCCACGGGCCAACUCAUCCCCCUACCUGCAGAGGAGAGUACUGCAGCAUGAACCAGCUGCCAGGAGACUGCACUGUUCUCAGAGGUUCACCGAUGGAGACUUUUCUGACUAUGACUGUGAGGAUGGUUUGGGGGUGAUUUCAGAGUCCCGGCAGAAUGUCCGAAACCUCAACAGCUCCACCCACUCUCUGUGCGAGCAUGUAUCAUUGAAUCAUGGCUCACGAUCCGAUCUGGUCCUGAUGAGGUCCCAGUCGCCAAGCCGAAUGGCUCCUCAUAGUGCGAACACUCUUUACCCUUUACACCGUAAGGAUGCUGUGCGGCUGUUGCGAGGGUCCAAGCUCAACCGAUCUUAUUCUGACGUUGGCCAGUAUAACAGCCUGGACAAGAGGUCACCAAGGAGAAAGUCUGGGACCAACUCUCUUGAUUCUCAUGACAGUUACUCUGGAAGUUUCUGCAAUACUUCCUGGCCGAAUCAUAUGGCAAAUGGAAUUGUAGAGGACUACAGACAAGACUUCAUCCCAGACUUUCCCUCCGAAGCAGAACCCUUCGAUGAGGAGCUGCUCAGGGUUAGCCCACAGGAUGGAUCGGUCCACAUGAGUCCAAUUGGAACCCCCUUGUGCAGUCGGCAAGGGCGCCAAUUGCCUAGCGUCCCGCCCAAAGGUGCUCCAGACACAAUUUGUGCCACGUCUACCAAAGUAGUACCAACUGGAGGCGGAGCUGCUGCAAGUCAUCCUUCCCCUUGCCCCCCACACAAACAGGCUCCUCCCCCUGUCAACAACGUAACUGCUCCACUUAUAAGAAUACAAGCUCCUCCCCAAGCACCUGGCCAGCCCCGCCUAGCUUCACCUGAGGCAGCGCCACCUUUGGCCAACACCUCGACCAACCACAUGCCAGAACCACCCUCGCCUCCCCCACCUAGCCCAGCUCCCCCUCCCCCUCCCCCUCUAUCCUCACCCCAAUCUCCACCAGCUUCUGAUCAAGCUCUGCCGCCCCCCAGCUGUUCUCCAGCCCCACCCCCAUCUCCACCAGCUUCUGAUCAAGCUCUUCCGCCACCGAGCUAUUCUCCAGCCCCACCCCCACAAACUCCAGAGGCGGACAGACGCUCAGCCACACCUGGAGGGACCAGGAAAGAGGUCACAUGGGAGGAUCAGCAGAAGAAAACAGCUAAUGGUGUGAUGAAAGAUCCAGAAAAGUGUCUGCAGAUGAGCCUCUCGUUAAAGUCCUCCAUCAGUGACAUAAGUGAUGUGUCGGCUGAGUCCAACCUCCUUGACAGCCAAUCAGGUCAAAGCCUCAGUCAGGCAGAAGGUCUGGAGAGUCCAUCAGUGGACUUGGGGCCAGGAUUAGGAGAAGUCACCACGCUGCAUAAAAGUGACUCAGUGGAUGACGGACAGGAAGAGGAGGAGUCUGAGGCUUCAAAGCCGUCAGCUGCUCCCACCGCCAAGUCCUCGAGUGUGGGCGGAGACAUUUGUUCACUGGGGCGCAACGAUGACGAUGAUGACGACAAGAAACGGCGCUCCAGUUUUGGCGCUCGGAUGAUGGGAAUGGUUGGACUGGGAAAGAAGAGCCAGAGCGCCUCGCAGCUCAAUCCAGAGGAGGAAGAGAAGAAGAAGAAGGUGGUGAGACUUCCUGUUCAGAGGAGCAUGGAAACCGGAUUGGCUAUUGAGUUUAAAUGUCGCUUCACUCGACAGCCGAGCCGCGACCCAGAUGCGGAAGACCCGAAGCCUGGAGCUUUGAUCUUUCCAGGAGUCAAGUUGGCUACUGACAAACACUUUACCGGCUUCCUGGAAGGUUUAGGACCUGCCCAGCUGGCUGGGAGGCAGACUUUGGCCACACCCGCCAUGGGAGAUAUCCAGAUUGGGAUGGUCUACAGGAAGGAGCGCCUGGAUGUGGAGGUGAUCCGAGCCAGGGGGCUUGUGGGUAAACAAGGCAACAAGAACACGCCAGGGAAACGUUUACCAUCCACUUGUGACUGGGCAGAAGUUGACCAGUUGAUUGAUGGACCCGCAUCUAGAAAGAACAGAUCUUCACUCCUGUAGAGGGAACAGUAAAGCUGUACAGAAAGCAAAGUUGCAGAGAGCACAGUCAAGUUUCAGACUGCACAGGACCUACAGCAGCCAUCACCAAAUGGUGGAAUUCGGUCUGGAUCCGGACCCAGCCAUGGCCCUUUACGGACAUGUGACUAAUUAAAAUUAACACAAAUUAUAAUAAUAUACAGUAUAAUCAUGCUAGCAAACUGAUCGCAGCGGCAGUUUGUGGCCGUAAUUACUUCCGUUAUUACGGUUUCGUGACCGCAAAUGCGGUGGCGUCACCCAAAAUGAGCCAAUGAAAUUGUUUUCAAUUUAAAGAAAAAAAGAGGUUUGGAACUUCGCUGUGAAAAAACCCCUGCAUAAACAGAGUUUACGCAAUUUUAAUUGAAUACCCCUUAUCUGGAGCCUAGGUCUUCAAAGUGGGGUACGCAGAUUGGCGUAGGGGGUACGUGAAUAAAAAUGAAAAACAGCUUCUACAUUCGUACCAAACUCUGAGAUGUACAUCAUGCACUUGAACGCCUCAUGUGAACAGCCACAGCAGGUAAGUAGUAGAGUGCAGAAGAAGGGUGACAGCAUGAAGUUGUUCAUUAUUGUGUUAGAUGAACAAAUAAGUCAUCUUUUAAGUUAUCCAUCUGGCUCGGUAAUAAGUCUCGUAUGGAAUUAAUUUCCUUAUUGAUUUCUGUACGUUAUGUGUUUGUUUUCAUAAUUAUUUAUAAUUAUUACUGACAUGUAAUUAUUAUUGACAUGUAACGUAAGUUGCAUUGUACUGAUUAUUUGUUGCAGACCAACACACAGCAAAAGAUCACAGUUCACCACAUCUUAUCACAGCAAUGUUAUAAAUUCACUAAACAGAAGACAAACCUGCAAGUAGAUAUCUUACCCCUCUAAACCCUAAUAAAUUUAUUAGCCUAUGUGUGCAGUUGAAAAUCAAGACAUGUUUUAAUAUAUCAUAUAUUGAAUAAUACAUCAAAGAUGUUUCAUUGUGUGGUUUUUGUUUUUGAAGUGUGUAGGAGUAGAGGGUACAUGACUUCCAGUCAGAUGUCUGAAGGGGCACGCGGUAGUGAAAUGUUUGGGAACCACUGAUCUAGAGCAAGAAAUGUUCUAGAUAACAUUCCAGUUCUAAAGUGCACAGUAAAGUUCUAGAGUGCACAGUGGUGUACCCCUUCAGACAUUUGACCUGAAUCCAUGCUCCUGCACACUUCCACACCUUUAUUAAUUUGAUAUAGUAAACAUAAUUGCUUAAUUCAUUUUAUAGUAAUUCCAGAUGAAAACUGUAUUUUGCAUGGUGACACAUGAGCACUAAGAAAUAGAUGAGUAAUCAGCCUACUUAUCUUUUAUUCCAGUCUGAUGUUGGCAUCCUUCCCUUUGAAUGGCUUGAAUUUCACCUUCACUUUUUUUUGGCUACUCAUGUUUGGUUUAAGUCUGCAUAUUCAUUUCAUACCAGACACAAAGCAGUAUCCCAAGUACAAAAAUACAACCAACGAUACAGCCUCAUUUUUAGAGGAAGUGAUAGGUUUUGACUGCUGCAUGCAGGGAUUGGAACACCAAUAUAAAUGACAGCUUCAAGAUGAAACACUCUUAAUGCACAAAAUAAUCCUAAAAUUUAUGUGUUCAUAUGAUGCACACAAAUAACAAUGAACAACUUCAUGCUCUGUAUCCCUUGUGCUCUGUUCUACUUGGGCCAUCAGGUGUUCAAGCUCACUCGUGACUAUGAAUGUUAGGCACCGUUUACAAAUUGUCUACCCCUGGGGGUACGUGUACCCCACUUUGGGAACCAAGGAUCUCAAGAAAUGCCAUUAAAGUUCUAGAGAAAAAAGUAAAGCUCUAAAGAACAGACUUGCAGUAAGUUCUACAGAGAGCACAGCAAAGUAAAGAUGUGAUGAGCUGACAUUGACUGCUGUGGCGCAGCUGCGUACGUGAAGGUCUACCUGAUGGAUAACGGCAAAUGUUUGUUGAAGCGAAGAACUCGCCUGGCCAGAAAGACACUGGACCCUCUUUAUCAACAACAGCUGCAAUUUGAAGAAAACCCAGAGGGAAAGGUUUUACAGAUCAUCGUUUGGGGUG